GAUGAACGCUAGCGGCAGGCUUAACACAUGCAAGUCGAGGGGCAGCACUUGUAGCAAUACAUGGUGGCGACCGGCGCAAGGGUGCGUAACGCGUGAGCAACAUGCCCGUAUCAGGGGGAUAAUCCAGGGAAACUUGGUCUAAUACCCCAUAGCAAUUAUUUGAGGCAUCUUAAAUAAUUUAAAGCUUUGGUGGAUACGGAUUGGCUCGCGUGACAUUAGCUAGAUGGUAAGGUAACGGCUUACCAUGGCUACGAUGUCUAGGGGUUCUGAGAGGAAGAUCCCCCACACUGGAACUGAGACACGGUCCAGACUCCUACGGGAGGCAGCAGUGAGGAAUAUUGGACAAUGGAUGGAAAUCUGAUCCAGCCAUGCCGCGUGCAGGAAGACGGCCCUAUGGGUUGUAAAACUGCUUUUGUGUGGGAGCAAUAAGGUCUAUGCGUAGACUGAUGAGAGUACCAUACGAAUAAGCAUCGGCU
rnacentral:rRNA from 1 species